rnacentral:rRNA from 1 species
UAGGGAAUAUUGGGCAAUGGAUGCAAGUCUGACCCAGCCAUGCCGCGUGCCGGAAGAAGGCCCUCAGGGUUGUAAACGGCUUUUAUUCGGGAAGAAGAGCAGGGAUGCGUCCUUGUGUGACGGUACCGAAUGAAUAAGCACCGGCUAACUCCGUGCCAGCAGCCGCGGUAAUACGGAGGGUGCGAGCGUUGUCCGGAUUUAUUGGGUUUAAAGGGUGCGUAGGUGGCUGUUUAAGUCAGUGGUGAAAUACAGCCGCUCAACGGUUGAGGUGCCAUUGAUACUGAAUAGCUUGAAAUAAUUGGAGGCUGCCGGAAUGGAUGGUGUAGCGGUGAAAUGCAUAGAUAUCAUCCAGAACACCGAUUGCGAAGGCAGGUGGCUACGAUUUAUUUGACACUGAGGCACGAAAGCAUGGGGAGCAAACAGG